rnacentral:rRNA from 1 species
AGAGUUUGAUCCUGGCUCAGGAUGAACGCCGGCGGUGUGCCUAAUACAUGCAAGUCGUACGCACUGGCCCAACUGAUUGAUGGUGCUUGCACCUGAUUGACGUUGGAUCACCAGUGAGUGGCGGACGGGUGAGUAACACGUAGGUAACCUGCCCCGGAGCGGGGGAUAACAUUUGGAAACAGAUGCUAAUACCGCAUAACAACAAAAGCCACAUGGCUUUUGUUUGAAAGAUGGCUUUGGCUAUCACUCUGGGAUGGACCUGCGGUGCAUUAGCUAGUUGGUAAGGUAACGGCUUACCAAGGCGAUGAUGCAUAGCCGAGUUGAGAGACUGAUCGGCCACAAUGGAACUGAGACACGGUCCAUACUCCUACGGGAGGCAGCAGUAGGGAAUCUUCCACAAUGGGCGCAAGCCUGAUGGAGCAACACCGCGUGAGUGAAGAAGGGUUUCGGCUCGUAAAGCUCUGUUGUUGGAGAAGAACGUGCGUGAGAGUAACUGUUCACGCAGUGACGGUAUCCAACCAGAAAGUCACGGCUAACUACGUGCCAGCAGCCGCGGCAAUACGUAGGUGGCAAGCGUUAUCCGGAUUUAUUGGGCGUAAAGCGAGCGCAGGCGGUUGCUUAGGUCUGAUGUGAAAGCCUUCGGCUUAACCGAAGAAGUGCAUCGGAAACCGGGCGACUUGAGUGCAGAAGAGGACAGUGGAACUCCAUGUGUAGCGGUGGAAUGCGUAGAUAUAUGGAAGAACACCAGUGGCGAAGGCGGCUGUCUGGUCUGCAACUGACGCUGAGGCUCGAAAGCAUGGGUAGCGAACAGGAUUAGAUACCCUGGUAGUCCAUGCCGUAAACGAUGAGUGCUAGGUGUUGGAGGGUUUCCGCCCUUCAGUGCCGGAGCUAACGCAUUAAGCACUCCGCCUGGGGAGUACGACCGCAAGGUUGAAACUCAAAGGAAUUGACGGGGGCCCGCACAAGCGGUGGAGCAUGUGGUUUAAUUCGAAGCUACGCGAAGAACCUUACCAGGUCUUGACAUCUUGCGCUAACCUUAGAGAUAAGGCGUUCCCUUCGGGGACGCAAUGACAGGUGGUGCAUGGUCGUCGUCAGCUCGUGUCGUGAGAUGUUGGGUUAAGUCCCGCAACGAGCGCAACCCUUGUUACUAGUUGCCAGCAUUAAGUUGGGCACUCUAGUGAGACUGCCGGUGACAAACCGGAGGAAGGUGGGGACGACGUCAGAUCAUCAUGCCCCUUAUGACCUGGGCUACACACGUGCUACAAUGGACGGUACAACGAGUCGCAAGCUCGCGAGAGUAAGCUAAUCUCUUAAAGCCGUUCUCAGUUCGGACUGUAGGCUGCAACUCGCCUACACGAAGUCGGAAUCGCUAGUAAUCGCGGAUCAGCAUGCCGCGGUGAAUACGUUCCCGGGCCUUGUACUCACCGCCCGUCA